rnacentral:rRNA from 1 species
CCCUUAGAUGUCCUGGGCCGCACGCGCGCUACACUGAUGCAUUCAACGAGUUUUACCUUGGCCGAGAGGCCUGGGCAAUCUUUUAAACCUGCAUCGUGGUAGGGAUAGAUUAUUGCAAUUAUUAAUCUUGAACGAGGAAUUCCUAGUAAACGCAGAUCAUCAAUCUGCAUUGAUUACGUCCCUGCCCUUUGUACACACCGCCCGUCGCACCUACCGAUUGAAUGGUCCGGUGAAGCCUCGGGAUUGUGGCCAGUUCACUUUAUUGGGAGUUGGCUGCGAGAACUUGUCUAAACCUUAUCAUUUAGAGGAAGGUGAAGUCGUAACA